CUCCCUGAGUCCCCGGCAACAGCACAGAUGAAUGGGGAAGUGGAGGGAGCAGCCCUGCUAACUGAAAAGGGGGAGCACUUUACAAACACCAUUACAAGAAACGUGAGAAGUGUAACGUGGCAAGAACCAGGCAGCACCUGGUGUCAGCGGCUAAUUGUGUUGUAAGGUGGCAUGUUAGACCAGCGCGCUUAGGGCAACCCGAGCCACUGCACUUGCCUCGCAGGCGCCGCGUCCUCUGACACAGGCUUGGAUUACAGGAGGGAACGGCGCGGUGGCAAAAGCCCCCAGGACUCACGUUCCACUCAGAUGAACGCAUGCACAGAUGAGGAAUAAUGGAAAUUCCAUAAGCAGACACGAGACUUACCCCAAAGUGGAUCUAUAUGAGUGCUUAUCCCCAGGGAUAUAGUAUAUAUGUAACUCGAUGCGUCUGUUACUGUUGUAAUUGGGAAAAAGGAAAGCCAUCGUUGUGUAGAAAGAAGCUGAGGCUCUCUGCAAUGUCAAUGAGGUUCCUAAUAGGAAACAGGAGGCAGUCACCAAAAAGAAUAGUGAAAAUGAGGAAAAAACUGCAAAUAAAAAGACAAAAUUGGCUGAAAACAGCAGCAUUCAGAGAGAAACUUCCAAGGAAACUGGCUGCUGAACACUUUUACAGAGAAUCGCCAUGCUUGCUCACGCUCUCCAUUCGGGUCCCUAUUUUGGAGAAAAUUUUACGGAUGCCCUGCUGACAGCUUAAUGAAGGAACACUACAAAUCAUUUCAGAGGCAACAAGGGAAGUAAGGAAUAUGAAAUAUCGAUGGUGUUUUAUUCAGGAUGCAAAGUCUUUUCUACUUUUUUAAAACUUUUGGACAAUAAACCACAGGUGAGUAUUCAGUUUUUUUAAAGUAGAAAUUAUGUUUUUAGAGCAUACAUAGUGGAGGUU
rnacentral:lncRNA from 1 species